rnacentral:lncRNA from 1 species
UUUUUUUUUUGUCAUCCAACUAUGAAAAUUUACAAAAUGGUAAGUCUUUUUUAGUCACCCAAGUAUCUUGGAUUUUUUGGUGUUUUCAUUUUUAUGUUAGUCAGCUAGUGACCAAAAAAGACAAUAUUGAAUAGUUGAGUGACCAUUUUGUAACUUUUUAUAGUUUUGUGACCAUUUUGUAAUUUUUCAUAGUUAGGUGACCAAAAAAGAAAUUUACUUAUAAUUGAGUGACUACUAGUGUAGUUUCCCAUAGAGUUAUAUAGAUAUACAUGUAAUCCAUUCAAAAUGGUAACUUAACUAUUCAAUUUUGUCUUUUUUUAAUUAUCUAACUAUCUUGGAUUUUUGGAUGUUUUCAUUUUUAUGACCAAAAAAGGCAAAUUUAAAUAGUUGAGUAACUAUUUUGUAACUUUUCAUAAUUUAAUGACCAAAAAAGAAAUUUACUAAUAAUUAGUGACUAUUUUAUAAAUUUUCAUAAUUAAAUAGCCAAAAAAAAGUUUUACUAAUAAUUGAGAAAGUGUAGCUUACCCAUAGAGUUAUAUAAAUAUACAUAUAAUCAAUUCAAAUUUUAUUGUGACGUUGAUACGUUUUCUUUUAAGAUUUCUUGCAUUUUCUAUUUUACCAUUUAUCAUGUAAUUGAAAAUUUUUAUAAAUAACAAAUAAAUGCUAGAUAUAAUGGUAAGAUAUUGUAUUGUCAAGAGAAGACUUGGAUUCAAAUUUUGGAGACAAUAUUAUUAAAAAGUAUAAAUAUAAACUCUAAAAGAUUAAUAUUCAUAAAUCGUUUAAAAAUUUUAAAUCAAUAUAAAAUCUAAUCCGAUAAAAAUUUUCAAGUGAAAAGUUUUUAAAAUUAGAAAUUCAAAUUUUAAAGGGAAAAAUUCAAUGUAAAACCAAAUCUUUUCCAUGUUUAUUUAAUCAUUCUAACUUUUAUUUACAAAAAAAAAUGAUACAUUCCGAUAUAAAAUGAAAUAAUAUAAGUGAAAGUAUCAUAAAACCCCUUGAAUUGAGUGUUUAAUUAUAUAUUUUUUCUUUACUCAAAAAUUAGAUAAAAUAAUAAUUAAAAAUUCCAAAUUUAAAAAAUCAACGUAAGACCGAAUCUUUUCCAUAUUUAUUUUUCAUAACUUCCAUUUAAAAUAAAAAGGUAGAAUGAUGCAUGCCAAUAUAAAAUGAAAAUGUAGCUAAAAACAUCAUAAAUAUUUUUGUAUUAAGAGUUGAAUUACAUUUUGUCCUCCUUAUUCAUACAAUAGGCAAAAUAAUUUUGAAAAUUCCAAUUUUAAAAGGGAAAAAGGUAAUUUAAGAGAAAACCUUUUCCAUUUUUAUUUACUCUAACUUCUAUUUACAAAAAAUAAAGAAGGUAAAAUGACAUAUUCUGAUAUAAAAUGAACCAGUGGUAGGUAAAGGUAUUAUAGAGACCAUUAUAUUAGGAGCCGGAUUGUAUUUCAUUUCUUAGAUUAAAAAAGUGGAUAAAUAAUUUAUGUGGGUUAGAUUAAAGAGUAAACUGAUAUUUUUGUUGAAAAUUUUAUUGAUUUAUAAUGUUAAAAACUAACUUAUCAAUGUACUUUAAUAUGAGGUAUAUAGUACGUCAUAUAUAACUAUUUAAUUAUUCCGUCAUUAAUAUUAAUUUUUAACAAUAAAAAUAAAUAAAACAAAAAAUAGGCAAUGUAGGGUUAGAAUAGAAAUAUAAAAGAUGAUUAUCACGAGAAGAUAAAAUGAGAAAAUUGAAAGUGGUGGCUGCCCUGCAAAGUCCAAAGUGACGCCCAUCACUCGCACUCCCUCCUGCUCCUUUUCUUUUUCCACAUCUCCCACGUGUCCUUGCACAUUGCUUCUAUUUACACAUGUUUAGAUAAUAAUGGAUUUCAUUCGAUUCAGUAUAAUAUCAAAAUCCAUAGGGCAGUUAAAAUGCUAAUUCCAGCGUCCAACAUGUUUGAAAAGAUAAUGGUGGAAAUGUAAAAGGAAUUACAAGUUUCACACCUACAAACUGAGGUAUGGUGAUUUAUGUAUUGGUUGUUUUAAGAUAUACGUAAUAGAUCUGGUUGGAUUUUGUUUGUUUCGGCCUAGAGACAAGCUCCCCCAAAUUGGGCAUCAACAUCUGGAAAAGAUUAACCAACACCACACUCCUUCCCCCCAAAAUAGCAAAAUUGUAUCAAUAAAACAAUAGAUUUUCAAUAUGAAUGUAAAUCCCUCAGAAAUCUAGCUCAAGGAAUGAUGACAUAUAACAUCACUGCUACUAUAGAAAAUGUUUCUGUGCAGUGACUUCAAUGUCAAAGAACUCAAAUGUUUUAAUUGUUUUAUCCCUCCAUGACUGAUUUCAAUUUGCAGAUCAUAAACAGUCACUAUUGUUCUACCAAUUGUGUUAUCUAUGAAUGAAUACCAUCACUAUUUGACUUCCCAAGAUACUCCACCUCCGCAAUCAUACUUACCACCUUCCUAUACAUGUUUAAGUUUCCACACCAUUCAUAAUAACCUCCUCAAUCAGAAAAACUGACAACAAGAGCUUAAAUUCAAGCAUGACACAAUGCUAAAUUAGAAAACAUGGAAUCACCCCUCAUAUCAAACAAGAAGUUUGAUAAUUCAUUAGUGAGUGGUGCCAAAAAAGUAUACCUACUGCCCAGGGAUUUAAAUUGCGGUUGCGACUACGUUUUCGGUUGCAUUGCAUUUAUCGUGGUUGCGGACAUAAUGGAUACUAUUGCGGUUACUGUGGGUAUCGCGAUCGUGAAUUUUUUUAAAAAUUCAUAAACUUAUUGUAAAAUAUAAUAAUUAUAAUUAUAAUUAUUAUCACUUUUAAUGAUUUUUAGAGCGUUUUCUAACACUUAUGAACUUUUAUUAAUAUGAGAACACAAUUUUUAUAAUCAUUAAUUUUUCUUAUAUUUAUUUACAAAUUUUCUAAGAAUUUUAUAUUAACUAAUAACAAAGUAAAAAAAAAAGAAAUAUUAAACAUUCAUCAUAUUUAAUAAGUUUGAAAGUUUUUAUAGAUAAAUAAUUGAAAAUUCAUACAUGAGAGAGAUCUUCAAUAUUUUUUAACAGAUUUGAAGAUGCUGAAGAUAACAAAUCAUUCUAUGCUGAAAAAGGAAAAGAUGAAUGUAUAGAUUCUCAUUAAUUAUUCCUAUUUCCUACCACUUAUUCUCACUCUCAUUCUACUUUCAUAUAUAGUUUAACAUGCUUCGAUUCUUAAUUAUCUUUUCAUAAAAUAUAUUACAUUCAUUUAUCUAAAGAUGUAUUUUAAAUGUCUUAAUAUCAUUAAAAUUAAAAACAUUAACAAAAGUUUUCUUUAAAAAAAAUACCUUACAGAUAGUGGUAGUGGUACGAUUUAGUUUUCACCAAUUAGUGGAAUGAUGAGGAGGAUUAGAUCCUUCACCUUCACUUUGAGAGCGUUCUUGACUUGAUUCUCUUAGCCUUUGUCCAAAAAUAUAAAAAAAAAAAAACAUUUUCACCUUGGUUUUCAUAUAAUUGAUAUGGAGGAUAUAUUUGAGGAGGAAGAUAUAUGAGAGGUGGAGGUGGGUGAUACAUUGGUGGUGGUGGAUGCAUUUGAGGCUAGUAUGACACACCAUAAUUAGGAAAUGGUGGAUAAUAACCAUAUGGUUGUGGAUAACCAUGUGAAGGUUGAAAAUAUGGAGGUUGUUCUGGUGGAUAAAAACCUUAAGUGCUAAUAGAUGAAUCACUAUACCCAAGGUUACUAGAAUUCAAUCUCCUACCAGAUGAAGAGCCUAUAGAAGUAUGCUUCUUGUCUUUUCCUUUUGAUGGAGCUUUAGGUUCACUUCUAUCUCUCCUAGGUUCAGGAAACAUAUUUCCAUCAAAUUCUGAUCUAUCACGGAAAUGUCCACUAGUGGUACCAACCCCAUAUUCUCCUCUAUACCGACUAGAAGACCUAAUUUCACCUCUAUCUCUACUAUAUCCAUCAUCAUCAUCAAUUGAACUUAAACCACCACCAUCGGGUCCAUCGCCAUUCUAACUUGGAGUUGCACUAGAACUUGAAUGAGAUAAAUUUUUUUCUUGAGAUUGAUCAACAUUCAUUUCAUCAUCAGAGGUAUCCACAAGCAACACAGCGACAUUUUCACCAUCUAACAACAGAUUCUCUUUCUCAUGAAGCCAUUCUGAUAGUGGAUCAACAUCUUCAAAGAUAUGAAGGCUGAUAGGAUUAAAACUAGCUUUUAUAUCAUCAAUGCUCAUUAUUUUUUGAUGCAUUAUCUGAAGCCUCAUAUUAUAAUAGGUAAACACUAGUUUCUUAAGUUUUUUAUACUUCAACAUAUUUCUUGCCUUGGUGUGAAUAUAACUAAAUGUGCUCCAAUUUCGUUCGCAAUUUGAUGCAGAAGUUAUUUGACUAAGCACUUUAAUUGCUAAUUUUUGUAACUCAGGAACACAUGUGCCGUAUAUUAUCCACCACUCAACUACAUAAUAUUAUUUAAAUUUCAAAAUAACUUUGAAAUGUACAAUAUAAUUAAAUAAUAUAAAUUAGAUUAAAUAAUUUAAUUAACUAUUUACCCGGAUUCAUUUGCUUCCAAGCUCUUUGGGCUUGUGGAGUACCGAAUGUCUCAUGUUUAUCUCUAAAUAGUAACAACUGCAUAAAUAAAAGAUAAAGUAAAAAAAAAAUUCUAUUUCAAAUUAUGUAACUAAGUUACAAAUAAUAGUACUUGAAUCUAACUUGAUUAACCAUUCUGACUUGAGUAUCAAGAGAAGGUUCUAAUCUUUCAAUUACUGAUCUUGUACCUUCUAAUGUUUCUAUUAGUACAUUCUCAGAAUGCUCCACCCCAAAUUGAAAUUGAGGAUUGAAAAAAUAACCUAAGCAUAAUUUAUAAGAAUAUCAUCAAAUAAUAUUCUAAAGCUUAAAAUAAUAAAAUAUAAAAAUAGUUCUUAGUUAUAUGAAACAUUUUAUCUUACCAGCUGAAUGUAAACUGAAAUGCAUAAAAUUCCAUCUAUUGUCAAUAAUAUUUUCGUACUCGGUGAAAUAUCGACAAUCUUGUUGAAUUGCUCAUUUAGCUCUAUCAACAACCUCAUAAAUAAAGUCCAUUGUUGGUUUUUCAUCACCAUCCACAAGUCUCAAUUCUUUUACUAGGGGCUCGUAAACUUUUAUGAGGUCGUUGGCUUUUUUCCAAAAAUAUUUUCCCAAAACAAUUUUUUUGGCUUCAUAAGCAAGCUCUGACUUUUACUGUCCCCAUUUUGAUUCUUUAAAUUCCUAUAUAUUCAUAAGAAAAUUUUAAUUCACGCUUAGUGCACUUUGUGCAGAAGUGUUUUGGGAUUCAAAGUUUAAUUCAUAUGCCUAAAAAUAGAAUAAAUUUACGGACAAGAAAGUAAAAUCAGAUUUCACAGAAACGAGAUAAAAAGAACUAAAUUUACAGAAAUCAGUGUGGUCACUAUUAAGUAAUCUACGAUGAAAAUAAAAAAAAUAAGGGGGUUUAAUUAGUCUGAAAGAAAGAAAAUAAAUUUAAAUAAGAGAAAAUAGAAUGAUGUGUUGGAAAAUAAUUAUUGAGUGAUGAAUGAUAAAUUGAUACUCAAAUUAAACAAUUGUAUCUCUUGGUUUAAUAUUGUAUUUUUUUCAUACAGUUGUAUCUUUUGAAAAAAUGUAUCUCUUGGUUUAAUAUUGAAUUUUUUUCAUUUAUUGUCUCUAUUCACUCAUAUCUAUUAAUUUUUCAACAAAUCUCUUCAUUCUUUUCCUCUCCUCUAUAUAAAGUCAAGUUAGGAGAUUUCAAAAACGUAUCAUCAAAAAACUAUCAAUAUUUUAAAUUCCUUAUAAAUUCAUUUCUCCUGGUAAUAGAGAAAGGCAAGAGUGCUCAAUUGAUUAUUGUUGUUGUGCUACUACUGUGAUUUUUGGUUGUUGUAUCCUGGGAGACAGACGUCCAACAUUACUCAAAGCACCGAGGAGAGGUCGAAUUUGUCUUAAGGAAACUGUUUAUACAGGCCUCAACAAAAUUCUUCUUCUAAUUUUUAACUUUGUCCAAUUACAAGUAUUCUAUUAUGUUACUACUACUACAUUGUAUUGCAUUAUUAUUUUUAUUAACAUAUUAAUACUACAUAUGAUAUCAAAUUUUCUUACAAUCUUAAGACAGAUUAAUUGUUGUAAUUUUAAUCUAAAGCGUACAGAUUACCAUCAUAACUUAUUUAAGAUUGGUUUAUACUUCUGUUUUGGAUUUUAAUUUAUUUAUAAAUUCUAGUUCUUUAUUCCGAUUAUAAAAAAAUGUCUCACACGUCAAACAACUCAUCCAAUUUAAAGGCUGAGGCAAUUGUCGUUGCUCAAGUUCAGGAUGCAAGCCAAACGUUACCUGUGGCUAUGAGUCACAAUGAAAAGCCUGCGAAAUUCACUAGAGAGAAUUUUAAAACAUGGCAACAGAAAAUGUUGUUCUAUUUGACCAUGUUGAAUAUGACAAAAUUUUUGAAGGAUGAUCCUUCUAUUUUUAGAGAGGAUGAGGAAGAUGCUAUUACCGCCUUCAACAUUGUCGAAGCACGGAACAACUUUGAUUUCCUAUGUCGUAACUAUAUUUUGAACAGUUUAUCUGAUGAACUUUACGAAGUAUACAGUAUUAAGAAAACGACUAAGGAAUUAUGGGAAUCGCUGGACCAUAAAUACAAAACUGAAGAUGUUAGUGCUAAUAAAUUCUUAGUUAAAGUUCUUAAACUUUGUAAUGGUUGAUUCUAAAGCUGUUGUAAAUCAGGUGCAGAAAUUCCAACUAAUCAUUCAUGGUAUUCUCGUAGAAGGGAUGGAGAUAAGUGAAUCCCUUUAGGUGGCAACCAUUAUUGAAAAACUUCCCCCUGUUUGGAAUGACUUCAAGAACUAUCUUAAGCAUAAGAGAAAAGAAAUGACGGUGGAAGAUCUGAUUGUCAGACUUCGAAUUGAAGAAGACAAUCGAGGUGCGACUAAAAGGCUAAAAAAAGCAACCAAUCCUAACAUUACCAAAGUAAACGUAGUGGAAGUCAAUGAGGACUCCAAGAAAAGAAAACAUUCUCAGACUGGGUCUAGACUAGGACUAAAAGGCGGUGUUUUCAAGAAACCAAAAUUCUAAGGAAAAUGCUUUAAUUGUAAUAAGAUGGGGCACAAGUCAUCUGGUUGUAGGCUUCUAAAGAGGGUCAGAACAAACGAGGCCAACGCUGUGGAAAAUAUUUCUAAAGAAGUAUCUGAUCUUAACCUUUAUGUUGUGAUUUCUAAAGUCAACUUGGUUGAUUUAAAUCAAGAGAAUGGUGGCUUGAUACUGGUGCCACACAUCAUAUUUGCUGUGACAAGGACUCUUUUGUUGAGUUGGUUCCUUGUGAGAAAUGGGAGAAACUCUAUAUGGGCAAUGCCACAACUUCCAAGAUUAAGGGGAAAGGCACUGUAAUUUUGAAGUUUUGGCAAAUAGUUGAAACUUUAAAAUGUGUCGUAUGUGCUCGACAUAUGCAAGAAUCUUAUCUCUGGGACCCUCCUAAGUAUGCAUAGCUUUAAGAUGAUAUUUGAAUCCCAAAAGUCAGUUUUGUCAAAAGGGGGAACAUUUGUGAGAAGGGGAAAUGUAUUAAAUGAUAUGUGGAAACUCAAUGCUAUAUCUGUAAAAGCUAAUAGUAUGAAUAAGAAUAAUGAUUCUUCUUUUGUUUAUAUGUUUGAGUUAUUUGAUUUAUGGAACGGUUGACUCGGACAUGUUAAUUCUAAUACUUUACAUAGACUAAUUAACUUAGAGCACAUUCCUUUAUUUCACAUUAAUCAUAAUCAUAAAUGUGAAACAUAUGUUGAGGCAAAACUAACAAGGCCUUCUUUUCAAUCUAUUGAAAGAAAUACUGAAUCACUUGAUCUAAUACAUAGUGAUAUUUGUGACUUAAAUUUUUUUCAAACUAGAGGAGUGAAUAAAUAUUUUAUUACAUUCAUUGAUGAUAGCACAAAAUAUUGCUAUGUAUAUUUGCUUAAAAACAAAGAUAAAACUGUAGAGAAAUUUGUUCUCUAUAAGUAGUGUAAUAGCCUAAAUUUGCCCGGCCCACAUACAUUUCAAAAAUAAAUAAAUAAAUAAAUAAGGUCCAAAUGUCCAUUACAUUGACCCAAUUUAAAAAAACCCGAAAUUACAUACCCAAAGUCCAAUUAACAAAAACCCAAUACCUAAAGCCUGACACGGCCCAACCUAGCCCAAAACAUUCCCUAAACACAAACCCUAGCAGCAAUGGCUCACAGCGCAGCAGCAGCAGCACCUCUCAGCCUUCCCUCGCAUGUGCGCCGCCGCCAUGUGCCACGCCUCCACGUCCACUGCUCCGUACGGCCGUACCUGCAACAAACAGAGGCAGACAAAACAACAACAGCAAGAAAAUACAGGGAUAGGAGAUUUUUUCUGUAAUUUUCUAUUUUAUUUUUCUGUCGUUUCUCGGCUAUAAGGCCAUCUUCAAGAAUUUGUAAACGGGGAAUAUCAACACAGACGCGCAUAUUGUAUAGAAAAAAAAUAUUCAAAGAAAUAAAAAAAAAACAGAGGUUUCGAAAAGUGAUCGGAGUUUUUCUUCUGACUAUUCCUUUUUCAAUUUUUUUAAUGUUUAGAUUGCUGUUUUAAAAAAGGGGAAAACCAUUUCAAAAGGAAAGGAAUGAAAAUAUCGCAGUGAGUUUUAGGUUUUUUCUUCUUUCGAUUUCACUAUUUCCCUUUUAUUAUUUUAUUGUUUAUUCGUCAAAAAAUGAUUUAGAAGACAGAAGAUUACCUGAAAUACUAAGUCUCCGCUUGCUCCGUCGUGAUCGGAACCCUGGGGAGGUUCGCGAAGCCUCAAAACAACCCGAAUGUCCGAGCGGCGCAUGCAGGAGGAGAUGGUUUAGGUUUUUUUAGUUUGAUUUGUGAAUGGAGACGGCGGGGUAGCAUUUAGGUUUUUUU